CCUACGGGAGGCAGCAGUGAGGAAUAUUUGUCAAUGGCCGGAAGGCUGAACCAGCCAAGCCGCGUGAAGGAAUAAGGUUCCACGCAUUGUAAACCUCUUUUGUCCAGGGACAAAAUAAGACGCGCGUGCCCCACUGAGAGUACUUGACGAACAAGCAUCGGCAAACUCCGUUCCUGCAGCCGCGGUAAAACGAGGGAGGCAAGAGUUAUCCGGAUUUAUGGGGUGAAAGGGGGGCGUAGUCGGGUGGUAAGGUCAGCGCUAAAAGCCCGGGGCUAAACCCCGGCGCGCCGUUGAAACUGGUGGUCUAGAGAGGGGGAGAGGUAGGCGGAAUGCGCGGUGUAGCGGUGAAAUGCUUAGAUAUCGCGCAGAACUCCGAUGGCGAAGGCAGCAUACCGGCGGCGAUCUGACGCUGAGGCACGAAAGCGUGGGUAGCGAACAGGAUUAGAUACCCUUGUAGUC
rnacentral:rRNA from 1 species